rnacentral:rRNA from 1 species
GACGAACGCUGGCGGCGUGCUUAACACAUGCAAGUCGAACGGUGAUGCUCCAGCUUGCUGGAGUGGAUCAGUGGCGAACGGGUGAGUAACACGUGAGCAACCUGCCCCAGACUCUGGAAUAAGCGCUGGAAACGGCGUCUAAUACUGGAUACGAAACUGGCCCGCAUGGGCAUGGUUUGGAAAGUUUUUCGGUUUGGGAUGGGCUCGCGGCCUAUCAGCUUGUUGGUGAGGUAAUGGCUCACCAAGGCGACGACGGGUAGCCGGCCUGAGAGGGCGACCGGCCACACUGGGACUGAGACACGGCCCAGACUCCUACGGGAGGCAGCAGUGGGGAAUAUUGCACAAUGGGCGAAAGCCUGAUGCAGCGACGCCGCGUGAGGGAUGACGGCCUUCGGGCUGUAAACCUCUUUCAGCAGGGAAGAAGCGAAAGUGACGGUACCUGCAGAAGAAGCACCGGCUAACUACGUG